rnacentral:tRNA from 1 species
GGAGAGGUGGCAGAGCGGCUUAAUGCGGCGGUCUCGAAAACCGUUGGGCCGGGCAACCGGUCCCGGGGGUUCGAAUCCCCCCCUCUCCG